AGUAACGGCGAGUGAAGCGGCAACAGCUCAAAUUUGAAAUCUGGCCCCCAGGGCCCGAGUUGUAAUUUGCAGAGGAUGCUUUUGGCGCGGUGCCUUCCGAGUUCCCUGGAACGGGACGCCAUAGAGGGUGAGAGCCCCGUCUGGUCGGACACCAAGCCAGUGUAAAGCUCCUUCGACGAGUCGAGUAGUUUGGGAAUGCUGCUCUAAAUGGGAGGUAUAUGUCUUCUAAAGCUAAAUACCGGCCAGAGACCGAUAGCGCACAAGUAGAGUGAUCGAAAGAUGAAAAGCACUUUGAAAAGAGGGUUAAACAGUACGUGAAAUUGUUGAAAGGGAAGCGUUUAUGACCAGACUUGGGCCCGGUGAAUCAUCCAGCGUUCUCGCUGGUGCACUUUGCCGGGCUCAGGCCAGCAUCAGUUCGUCGCGGGGGAUAAAAGCUUCGGGAACGUGGCUCCCUCGGGAGUGUUAUAGCCCGUUGCACAAUACCCUGCGGUGGACUGAGGUUCGCGCUCCGCAAGGAUGCUGGCGUAAUGGUCAUCAGCGACCCGUCUUGAAACACGGACCAAGGAGUCGUCUUCGUAUGCGAGUGUUCGGGUGUCAAACCCCUACGCGUAAUGAAAGUGAACGCAGGUGAGAGCUUCGGCGCAUCAUCGACCGAUCCUGAUGUUCUCGGAUGGAUUUGAGUAAGAGCAUACGGGGCCGGACCCGAAAGAAGGUGAACUAUGCCUGUAUAGGGUGAAGCCAGAGGAAACUCUGGUGGAGGCUCGCAGCGGUUCUGACGUGCAAAUCGAUCGUCAAAUAUGGGCAUG
rnacentral:rRNA from 1 species